rnacentral:rRNA from 1 species
UGGGGAAUAUUGCACAAUGGGGGAAACCCUGAUGCAGCGACGCCGCGUGAAGGAAGAAGUAUUUCUGUAUGUAAACUUCUAUCAGCAGGGAAGAAAAUGACGGUACCUGACUAAGAAGCCCCGGCUAACUACGUGCCAGCAGCCGCGGUAAUACGUAGGGGGCAAGCGUUAUCCGGAUUUACUGGGUGUAAAGGGAGCGUAGACGGCAUGGCAAGUCUGGUGUGAAAGGCAGGGGCUCAACCCCUGGACUGCAUUGGAAACUGUCAGGCUGGAGUGCAGGAGAGGUAAGUGGAAUUCCUAGUGUAGCGGUGAAAUGCGUAGAUAUUAGGAGGAACACCAGUGGCGAAGGCGACUUACUGGACUGUAACUGACGUUGAGGCUCGAAAGCGUGGGGAGCAAACAGG